UAAAGCUAGUUUAUCUAAGUUGUGCUGCACAGUCAAGAGCUCCGACCCCCCGGGUUCCCCUUCAUGGCGUCUCACGCCGCUGUUCUCCAAAAUCUCUCUCUAAUCCCCCCCUCUUCGCACUCCACAUUCUUCCCCGUUAUUCAGUCCAGAAUCAGCUAUGUUUCUCACUUCGAUUCUGUCGUACUCAAAGCCUAUCUCCCAAUCCAUCAUCCCCAAACCAGUCCGGGAGAACGCCUGGAAGCUGAAUCUUCUGCUGGAGAUAACAAGAGUGACAAUGAGAAGGAUAAGAAGAAAAAGACAAAAAAGGAGCUUCGGCCCAAUUUCUACCACCAAACCUUAAAGAAAUGGUCCGUCAAGAUCUCAUCCCAGAGGACCAAAUUACCAUGGCAGGAACAACAGGUGGAACGCGGGGAGAAAGUCGUUCAUGGUUCUGUAGCUGGAGGUUUGCCUGUGGAACCUUUAAAUAAUCGAACGAGUGUAGUUUUCUUGGACGGCAGGACGAAAUCCGGAUCCGCGCGAUUGGACCUAGAAGUCCAUUCAUCGGACCACUUAGUAAAGCUGCCCAAGUCUAGCAAUCUUGCGAGGCCGAAGGACUCACAGCAUGAUGUGGUUGAGAACAAUUCACAAACCGAAGAUAACCGCUUCAAGUUGGGAAUGCCUUUGUCAUCAGCUCCUAGGCCACAGCCAGCGGAAUCCAAACGCUCCAGUUUGGCACACAGUAAGUUGUUUUUAGCGCGUCAGCCUGAUUUGACCGACAGUACUAAUGAAGAGAGCCCUAGUUAUAGUAGGAGAACUAUUUCUUCUUCCAUUAGGAUGGGUGUGGAACUUCAGAAGCAAGAAUUAGGAGAUGUUUUUUUGCCAACUGUUAUAGCCGAAACAACGAAAUCCCAGUUUUACGUUGAUGCCGCAUCUACGGUCCCAUCUCAGGCGUUUAAAUGUGAUGCACAGCGUCCAAAGAGUAGGGUUAGCGCAAAAAUUGAAAAGCUGGAAGAAACAAUGGAUCAUUGUAAUCAAGAAGAUGCUAGAAGUUAUGUUGGAUCAUAUCAUGAAAAUGUUCCGACAAAUUCGUUGUUUGAUAGUGAUAAUUCCAGUGGUUCUUCAUCAUUCCCUUGGGGGGAUGGGGAUGGUGUUAGUAAGAUAGAUCCUCUUCGCAGAAGAAGUAACACUGAUAUGGCUGAGAGGACCAUUCCAGAGCCUGAGCUGCGUAGGCUUAGGAAUGAGGCAAUGAGACUGAAAGAGAGACUGAGGGUAGGGCCUGCUGGGGUUACCGAAGCUGUUGUAGAAAAUAUUCUUCAGAAAUGGAAGGAGGUUGAGGUGGUCAAGUUAUAUAUAGAAGGUCCACCAAGUCUCAACAUGAAGAGGACAAAUGACAUUCUGGAGACAAAAACAGGAGGCAUUGCAAUUUGGAGGUCUGGAAGUUCAAUUGUGUUGUACAGAGGUCUGAACUACAAGCUUACCUGUGCACGCUCAUUUUCAAGAAUUUCUGAAACUACUUCUAGCAUGGAUGGUUCAGCAUACUCAAAUUAUUCUGUUGUAACCAAGGGCACAAUAAAGGUUUUGGAGCAAUCUGCUGCUGAUAUUGAGUUAUCUAGUGCAAGAACAUUUGAAGUUUCUUCAGAUGCUUCUCAUAUUGAUUCUAUUUUAAACCAAUUGGGACCGAGGUACACAGAUUGGUCUGGUCGUGACCCACUUCCUGUUGAUGCUGACUUGCUUCCUGGCAUGGUUCCUGGUUACAAACCUCCUUUCAGACUUCUUCCAUACAAAACCAAAAGAAGCCUUACGAACAGGCAAAUGACAUUUCUUCGGAGGAUUGCCAGAUCUAUGGCUCCUCAUUUUGCUCUUGGAAGAAACAAACAACUUCAAGGGCUGGCCAAUGGUAUGGUAAAGUUGUGGGAGACAAGUGCUAUAGCAAAAAUAGCUAUUAAGCGUGGUGUACAAAAUACUUCAAAUGAGAGGAUGGCAGAAGAGAUUAAGGAAUUGACAGGGGGGACUCUGCUUUCUAGGAACAAAGAAUAUAUUGUAUUUUACCGGGGAAAUGACUUUUUGACACCUUGUAUAAGGGAUACAUUAGUUGAAAGGGAGAAACUAGCUAUAGUUCAGCAGGAUGCUGAAGAAGAAGCUCGGUCCAGAGCUUCUGGUUUAAUUAGCUCGAACUCUAAAGCAGUUAAAGGUCCAUUUGUUGCUGGUACUCUUGCAGAAACUUUGAAAGCAUACAAUCACUGGGCAAACCAACCUAGCAGCGAGGACAGGCAAAGAAUGAGAAGGGAUUUAGCCUUAUCACAACAAGAAUCUCUUGUUAGAUACCUUGAGCGAAAGCUAUCAUUUGCAAUUGCAAAAGUGCGGAAUGCUGAGAAAGCCUUGGCAAAAGUGCAGGAAACUCUGCGACCAGCCAAUCUCCCAACUGAUCUUGAAACUGUUACUGAUGAGGAGCGAGCUUUAUUUCGUAAAAUAGGACUUAAAAUGCGAUCCCAUCUACCUUUAGGGAGGCGUGGGGUCUUUGAUGGUACCAUACAAAACAUACACUUAAAUUGGAAGCAUAUGGAGUUAGCAAAAAUAAUUGUCAAUGAAAAAAGUUUUGCUCAGGUAAAGCACAUUGCUAUCUCUCUUGAGGCUGAGAGUGGCGGGGUGUUGAUUUCAGUUGACAAAACUACCAAAGGCUAUGUAAUCAUUCUAUAUCGAGGAAAGAAUUAUCAGAGACCACACAUUUUGAGGCCUAAGAAUCUUUUGUCAAAAAGAGAGGCACUAACACGCUCAAUAGAACUUCAGAGGCGUGAGGCUUUGAAUCAUCAUAUUGCAAAUCUGAACGAAAAAGUCCAGAUACUGAAAUCUAAACUUGCUCAAAUGGAACUUGACAGAGAAGCAAGUAGUGAAGUCACACACGACGAAGUUGCAGAUGCUUUUUCCUACAAUGACGUUGAGCUUUGAAGUACAGUUAGUCCUCUUUUAAUGGUGAAAUUAUUCUAUGCGGAUACGAACGCUGUUCGGAGGCGAAUCUGAGCGCAUCACGUCGCCCUCUUGUUGUGUACCGCAGCUGUGUACCCACUGUGUACCAGGAGGAAUGUAAAGAGACUCGUCUUACAACAUACAGCUUCAGCAACGAAGGUGAUGACACCGAUUACCCGAACAGGCUUCAGUUUUGAAAGAAACUGACCCCUAACACUGAACAGGCUUCAAUAAAGCUCCAGCAACAACAGCGCCAAUAGAGGUAACUGCAAUCAUCACCUCUCUGGCCUGAGAAAAUGGUGUUGUCAGCAACUACAUACUGGUUUUUCCAAGAUAAAACUGCAAAUUCUUUAGUGUUUUUUGCUUUCUUACAUUCCAGAAUUUUUGCAAUAUGAAAUCAUCUAAACCUUGUUUCAAUUCAUCAUUUCUUUCCUCAUUUUGAAGUUCCCCAAUUGUUCUCUGUGAAACUGUAUUUCCUUUUCUUUUUCUGUAAUCUGUAAUUAAACUACUGAAAAUUUGUAGUGUAAUGAUAUCCAGUUUGAGCGCAAAAUUCAGAGCUUGAA